rnacentral:rRNA from 1 species
UGGGGAAUUUUGGACAAUGGGGGCAACCCUGAUCCAGCCAUGCCGCGUGAGUGAAGAAGGCCUUCGGGUUGUAAAGCUCUUUCGGUGGGGAAGAAAUGGUUUCGGUUAAUACCCGGAAUUGAUGACGGUACCCGCAUAAGAAGCACCGGCUAACUACGUGCCAGCAGCCGCGGUAAUACGUAGGGUGCGAGCGUUAAUCGGAAUUACUGGGCGUAAAGCGUGCGCAGGCGGUUUUGUAAGUCAGAUGUGAAAUCCCCGGGCUCAACCUGGGAACUGCAUUUGAGACUGCAAGGCUAGAGUGUGGCAGAGGGGGGUAGAAUUCCACGUGUAGCAGUGAAAUGCGUAGAGAUGUGGAGGAAUACCGAUGGCGAAGGCAGCCCCCUGGGCCAAUACUGACGCUCAUGCACGAAAGCGUGGGGAGCAAACAGG